UGCUAUUGUAUUUUGGCUUGGUGUGU
rnacentral:piRNA from 1 species